CGAAAACGCAGCUUUUAUUUAAUAAAAAGAUGCACGAGGUUCCCUUUUCGUCCGUGAUGUUAAAGUUAAAGUCGGAUUUAAGGUUUAGACCAGAGUCGAUCGGCGGCGUUCAUAAUCAUUUCUGUGGAAUGUCCUCACGAGGAUAGUGCAAGUAGUACAAGGGCGUGGGUGUGUGCGUGUGCGUGUGCGUGUAAGUGUGCGUGCAAGUGUGUGUCAAUGAACAGAGGAAAAAAAACAGAUAGAGAAACAAUUAUUAAUUAUUUUGAGCAAGUCAAGGAGCACUUGAGUGACAGAUUAUUUCCGUGUGUGUGUGUGUGUGAAUGAAUAUCAGGAAUGAAUAAAUAGUAAAAUGCGACACAGCACUAUCAUCUCUCAGUGAUGUUGCCUUAAUGUCCUUGGUGCUUGAAUUCAUGAGAAGAAACUCCUUUAAAAAAUAAAAUCCUUUCCACACUAACCUGUUUGAAUCCUUUUCUUUUCACUGCCUCCGCUCGCUCCUGGCGUAGGUGUGUUUGUGUCACAGUGUUUGGCUACGUUCACAUUCCUGUGCUCCGGGGCUCGGCUGACAGCUCAUCAUCCGUUCACGAUCGGGUCAAGGUCCUGUUUUUACUCCUAUUGAAGGUUUCUCAGCUGCCGACGGACGAUGACGACGACGGCAGCGAUGUGCACGCGCGCAGCACGACGCCCUGAAUCUCUCAGCAUCACAGGUUGUAGUUGCAUCAGGACAUUUUUAGUCAAGAUCAGUGUCACAUUUGUGGCAGUUUAACUUUGUAAUGCGAAGGAGAUUGCUCUCACGGUGGAAUGAACAUCUCAGAGUUUGAGCUUGACCUAUCUGUCACGCGCACACGAGAGAAACCGCCGUCCGGAGAUCUAGCGCAGCUGUGAUUGAACAAGCAUGGCAGUGGAGUUAGCGUGAGGGAAGGAAUAAAAGAGGAGGAGAACGAUUCUAACAGGAGAGAGAGGUUUAACAGGACCCUCUGUGUUAAGCAAAGCUGACUCGAUCCGGCAGGUGGAAAGUUUAAUGCAAAACAAGGCAGGAUUUUUACUGUGUAACUCUCUACUGACAUUGCACGAACAUACUCAACACACACACACACACACACACACACUGUAGGCUUUUAUUUAAGGCUGCUUGUUGACACAGCAGGGUCAAUUUACGGGGUGGAGAAAACUAUGUGAUGCACACACUUAAUCCUCUGUAUUUAAGAGGGUGUGUGUGUCUGUGUUUAUGUGUUGCAUGCAAUCACAAGUGGUCGUAUAUGCAAGUGUUUCUUCUUCACAGCGAAUCGUCACUUGCCAUUAAACUGUG
ensembl:lncRNA